rnacentral:rRNA from 1 species
UAAGGAAUAUUGCUCAAUGGGAGAAAUCCUGAAGCAGCAACGCCGCGUGGAGGAUGAAGGGUCUAUGACUUGUAAACUCCUGUAAAGAAGGAAAAAAUUCCCAUUAGAUGGGAGAUGAUGGUACUUCUGGAGUAAGCCCCGGCUAACUACGUGCCAGCAGCCGCGGUAAUACGUAGGGGGCAAGCGUUGUCCGGAUUUACUGGGUGUAAAGGGUGCUCAGGCGGAUUUGUAAGUCAGAGGUGAAAUCUUACAGCUUAACUGUGAAACUGCCUUUGAUACUGCAAGCCUAGAGUAUGGAAGAGAGUGAUGGAAUAUCAGGUGUGGCAGUGAAAUGCGUAGAUAUCAGAUAGAACACCAAUGGCGAAGGCAGUCACUUGGUCCAUUACUGACGCUAAAGCACGAAAGCGUGGGUAGCAAACA